CAACUGUAUUCUGAAAGUUGGAGAGCUUGGAGCAGGAGAACGCCUGUGAGCUGUUGCAGAAGGAAAUAGAAGAGCUGAGGAAACAAAGAGAGGAGUGGAGCAAUGCAAGAGAGCAAGAGACUCUGAAGGACAGUAACACCAGUUCAGAACAAACAUGCAGAGCAAGCACGGCUGCAAACCUUGAGAAUGGGAUCAAAAAGGAAGGAGAGAGCAGUGAAAGACCUGUGGAUGGAGAGAACACAGUGACAUUGGCCAAGUUGAGGGAACUGAGGUGCAGCAUUGCCCGUUUAUUGGUCACUUUUGUUCCUGCCCUGUACCUCGACCUCGACCAAGUGAACUAUGACUGUGAGGUCAUAGAUGAGAUUUUAAAUCAGGUCAUACAGGAUAUUUACCCUGCUGAGACCACCUUUACUUAAAACCAGAUGCCAAAAUGUUAGCCUUGGUUGUUUUGUGCAUGGAGACCAAAUACUAUUAAAUUAAGUUUUAUUUAUUUACAUGUUGUCCUGAUUAACACUUGCGGUUCUUUCGGCAAGUUUUACAUUCUUGUUCUUUUGGUUAUUGGAAUAGAAAUAAGUUGUUUCAAGAAUAACAUGUGACCUUUUUGUCACAAAGACUUAUAAAGCUUACAAAUGUUGGGCCAUUUCA